AACAUCGUUAAAAUCUCGGCGCUUUUCACUUUUCUCUUCUUUCUUCAAUUUCUUCCACGCUGGCCCAAACUUACUUUUAUCGACGACUUCACUCCUCCCCAUGAUGAAGUUGUUUUCGAGUCGAGCGAAGAUCGACUUGACCCGUUGCUGGGCACCUGGUUUUGAAAGGUCGUUCCGAUCCUUUCGGAUAAAUUGGGAAUCAGCUGUGGUCACAGAC
rnacentral:snoRNA from 1 species